rnacentral:rRNA from 1 species
GCUGGCGGCANGACUNACACAUGCAAGUCGAGCGGAAACGAGUUAUCUGAACCUUCGGGGAACGAUAACGGCGUCGAGCGGCGGACGGGUGAGUAAUGCCUAGGAAAUUGCCCUGAUGUGGGGGAUAACCAUUGGAAACGAUGGCUAAUACCGCAUGAUGCCUACGGGCCAAAGAGGGGGACCUUCGGGCCUCUCGCGUCAGGAUAUGCCUAGGUGGGAUUAGCUAGUUGGUGAGGUAAGGGCUCACCAAGGCGACGAUCCCUAGCUGGUCUGAGAGGAUGAUCAGCCACACUGGAACUGAGACACGGUCCAGACUCCUACGGGAGGCAGCAGUGGGGAAUAUUGCACAAUGGGCGCAAGCCUGAUGCAGCCAUGCCGCGUGUGUGAAGAAGGCCUUCGGGUUGUAAAGUACUUUCAGUCGUGAGGAAGGNCGUGUCGUUAAUAGCNGCANUNUUUGACGUUAGCGACAGAAGAAGCACCGGCUAACUCCGUGCCAGCAGCCGCGGUAAUACGGAGGGUGCGAGCGUUAAUCGGAAUUACUGGGCGUAAAGCGCAUGCAAGGUGGUUUGUUAAGUCAGAUGUGAAAGCCCGGGGCUCAACCUCGGAAUAGCAUUUGAAACUGGCAGACUA